GUUUGAUCCUGGCUCAGAUUGAACGCUGGCGGAAUGCUUUACACAUGCAAGUCGAACGGUAACAGGUCUUCGGAUGCUGACGAGUGGCGAACGGGUGAGUAAUAUAUCGGAACGUGCCCAGUCGUGGGGGAUAACGUAGCGAAAGUUACGCUAAUACCGCAUACGAUCUAAGGAUGAAAGCGGGGGAUCGCAAGACCUCGCGCGAUUGGAGCGGCCGAUAUCAGAUUAGGUAGUUGGUGGGGUAAAGGCUCACCAAGCCAACGAUCUGUAGCUGGUCUGAGAGGACGACCAGCCACACUGGAACUGAGACACGGUCCAGACUCCUACGGGAGGCAGCAGUGGGGAAUUUUGGACAAUGGACGCAAGUCUGAUCCAGCCAUUCCGCGUGCAGGAUGAAGGCCCUCGGGUUGUAAACUGCUUUUGUACAGAACGAAAAGGUCUCCAUUAAUACUGGGGGCUCAUGACGGUACUGUAAGAAUAAGCACCGGCUAACUACGUGCCAGCAGCCGCGGUAAUACGUAGGGUGCAAGCGUUAAUCGGAAUUACUGGGCGUAAAGCGUGCGCAGGCGGUUAUGUAAGACAGAGGUGAAAUCCCCGGGCUCAACCUGGGAACUGCCUUUGUGACUGCAUAGCUAGAGUACGGUAGAGGGGGAUGGAAUUCCGCGUGUAGCAGUGAAAUGCGUAGAUAUGCGGAGGAACACCGAUGGCGAAGGCAAUCCCCUGGACCUGUACUGACGCUCAUGCACGAAAGCGUGGGGAGCAAACAGGAUUAGAUACCCUGGUAGUCCACGCCCUAAACGAUGUCAACUGGUUGUUGGGUCUUAACUGACUCAGUAACGAAGCUAACGCGUGAAGUUGACCGCCUGGGGAGUACGGCCGCAAGGUUGAAACUCAAGGAAUUGACGGGGACCCGCACAAG
rnacentral:rRNA from 1 species